UGGCGGACGGGUGAGUAAUGUCUGGGAAACUGCCCGAUGGAGGGGGAUAACUACUGGAAACGGUAGCUAAUACCGCAUAACGUCGCAAGACCAAAGAGGGGGACCUUCGGGUCUCUUGCCAUCGGAUGUGCCCAGAUGGGAUUAGCUAGUAGGUGGGGUAACGGCUCACCUAGGCGACGAUCCCUAGCUGGUCUGAGAGGAUGACCAGCCACACUGGAACUGAGACACGGUCCAG
rnacentral:rRNA from 1 species